AACGAACGCUGGCGGCAGGCUUAACACAUGCAAGUCGAACGGGCGUAGCAACACGUCAGUGGCGGACGGGUGAGUAACACGUGGGAAUAUGCCUUUCGGUUCGGAACAACUCGGGGAAACCCGUGCUAAUUCCGGAUACGCCCUUACGGGAAGAUUUAUCGCCGAAAGAUUAGCCCGCGUUGGAUUAGCUAGUUGGUGAGGUAAAGGCUCACCAAGGCGACGAUCCAUAGCUGGUUUGAGAGAACGACCAGCCACACUGGGACUGAGACACGGCCCAGACUCCUACGGGAGGCAGCAGUGGGGAAUCUUGGACAAUGGGCGCAAGCCUGAUCCAGCCAUGCCGCGUGAGUGAUGAAGGCCCUUCGG
rnacentral:rRNA from 1 species